UACGAAGGGGGCUAGCGUUGUUCGGAAUCACUGGGCGUAAAGCGCACGCAGGCGGAUUGAUAAGUCGGGGGUGAAAUCCCGGGGCUCAACCUCGGAAUUGCCUUCGAUACUGUCUGUCUUGAGUCCGGGAGAGGUGAGUGGAAUUCCUAGUGUAGAGGUGAAAUCGUAGAUAUUAGGAAGAACACCAGUGGCGAAGGCGGCUCACUGGCCCGGUACUGACGCUCAGGUGCGAAAGCGUGGGGAGCGAACAGG
rnacentral:rRNA from 1 species